CCCAGUGGCGCGAGCGCCCGAGCUGGGCCACCUCUGGGGACCCGGGCCUCUGGGGACACUUCCCCCUCGCCUCUCGCGGCCCAGGUGCGUCACGGGCGGGAGGGCCGGCGGAGCAGGUGGAGAAGCGGAGGCAGGAGCCCGCCGCGGGCCUCUUCUCAAACUCGCAGGCGGGCAGCGGAGGGCCCCGCUGGGCGCAGGCAGGGUGUCCAGGCCCAGGGGCCUGGUGAGGACACUGAGAAUUCCUCAUUUGAGUAUGUGUGGGAUUCGAGAAAGAAUUGGAAGCAAACGCAGGCGCUGAACCCCGCGCCCUUUCCAGCACCAGGGUUCUGCCGGGCUGCAGGACUCGGAGCUGCCGCUGAGUCAACCUGAGCUGGAGAGGGUCGUGUUCGCGGUGCGGAGUCUCUGCAGCCCCGGCUGGGCUCCUGGCCAUGCCCCCGCCCCCCCCCCCCCCCAGGCCCCUUUGUUGUGCAGUGAGACCGGUAGCGCCUCCGCCGGAACCUUCAUUCGAACCCCGCGCCCUUGCCACAAAAGAGGUGAACCGGCCAGGGCCGAGGAGCCAACCCCGACACCGCAGGGUCCUAGCAGAGGCACCCCCGAUGGCGAGGGGCGCACGGCCAACGCCAUCCCCGAAGAGAAGCCGGGAGGAGCCGGGCUUGGCAGGCAGGAGCCGGCGGCGGCGGUGCGCUGGGCCUUCCGCCUUCGCGCCUCCGCAUUCUGCAGCCGCUUCCCCGCUGGGAUUCGAACCCGGACAGAGCCCCCACUGCUCGGGGCGACAAGUCUCGCGUUCCUCUCGCCUCCCCACAGAAAAGGUGCUCUCUGCCGGCUCUGAUUCUCACUGACCGCUGCCUCUGCUGUUUCCGGCCCUAGGUGAGUGUUGCCCGCGGCAGCGCCUCGCGCACCAGCAGCUCAGUCUCAUUGCCACCGUCCUUCAGAGAGUCGGUCGCCCCCGCCCUCACCCUGACUGUCUUUUCCUGCGGGCUGGGCAGAGGGUCCCUGGGCCUUGCUGCCAGACUGUGGGGUCUCAAUAGGGAAUCCUCAUGGGGGAGUAGGGUAUUGCUGCAGGCCCCAGCAGGCUCAGAACCCACUGACGGGUGGUGGGGGAGGAGGUCCCUGGUAGAGGAAGGAGGGAAGCUGGGCCCCCCCCUCGCCCCCCACUCUGGAGCUGUGCCUCCUAACCUAGCCAAGGCAGGCUGCAGCUGGUGGGCUGAACUUGGCUGGGGCCACCGCCAGAAAGAACACAAGGUCACCCGAGGGCCCCCUUGCCCGGAGCCUACCAGGGGCUGAGUAUGGGGCUGAGGAGAACAGUGGCACCUGUGAAGCACUCCCACCUGCAGACAGGGUCCCUUCCCCACCCCCAGCCCAGCCCAGCACUCUUCCCUGCCCGCCUGCCCAGGAGGCAGCCCGCAGGCCCCAAGGUGGGGGAGGCACAGCCUUCUCCUAGGGGCGCCCCAGCUCACUCAGGCCCUCUCCCUGCUCCCUCCCUCAGCUCAGGAGGCAAUAAAACCCUCCAGCCCUGGCCAGGCUGGGCCAGGACACCCUCCUGAUUCUGGGGCUGUGCCCUUGCCAGGGUCUGGGGAAGGAGGGCCGGAGGCCUGGAAGAAGGCCUAGGCCCCGGGUAGGUGGAGGGUACUGCUGCUUAGGAUCUGUCUGCGGAGGGGGAGGAGGGGUCCGGAGGAGCAGCCCAGGAGCCACACCCCCAGGCGCUGCAGCAGCGGAGGCCAGCCAGCACGAUCAGCUCGAGGAGUGUGAGCAGACUGUCCCCAAGGCCAUGGCCCUGGCCGAGGUUGGGUCCUGGCCCGGCCAGGCCCUGCCCCCGCGUGGCCAGACUUAGAACAAAUUGGAGAGCAGGUCAGGCAUUGUGGAGUCCCAAGGAGAGAGCGAAUGAGCAAGGACAAUCAGACUGCGGUCCUCCUGGGCACCCAGCUCCGUGUCCUGCCCCACAGACAUUUGGGGACUCUGGAGUGGAGACUGUCAGAGGCUGGUGAGGUGCGGGUUGGCUGCGUGGACGUGCCCUACACUCUAUCGAGUUUUGGAACUGAGUUCAUUGCUGCAAUCUAGGGGGCCGAGAAAAAGGACUUUUACCACCAACUUCCGCUGCAUUCUGGAGCCCUGAUUCAGCCCCCGGAGCUCUGCCCUCUCCCAGCCUUUCCACCAAGCAGAGUGAGGCAGCCGGAGACCCAUGAUCAGAUGAACUCUUUUGGGAGUGGGCGGGUUUGGGAGAGCGAGCAAAGCUGGUCCUACAGUGCUGUAAGAAGCAUUGUGUGGGGUAAGCAGGGAGGGGUCCCCGACUCCGAGGCUCCCCGAGAAGCCACGAGCAGUAAAACCACACUGGGUCUCAUGGUGCUCUCCUGAGUCCGCUCACUCCAGGGCUGAAGGGUCCCUUUGCUCAGCCAGGACCGGUGCCCCAUGCUACCUCUCAGAGGCCAGGCCUCCGGAGAGGAGGUCUGUGUGCCUGGAGUGCAGGGUCCGAGCUGCCAAGCCGCCCUGCCCAGGCCCUCAGGUGCCAGGAAGCCUGGCUUCAGACUGCCCAAUGGGAGGUGGGAACGCGCUGGUGAUGGAUGGCCACAUGCGCCAACCUGGCCAGGUUCUCUGCUCGGCUCUGAGCUCCUUAAACUUGGCCAAGGGCUUUCAGGCACCCAGUGUCUGGGCUCCAUCAGAUUCCAUGUCGAGCUUUGCUCACCCUCUGGUUCCUGCUCAGAAAAACUCUGAAUAGUUAAGAGAAAAAAAGCAAGUCUCCUUUAAUUUACAUAUGGGUUUUCCUCUGAGAUCCGGAACUGUCCCCCGGAGGUUCCAGACCAUCAUCCCACCCUCAACUGGGGCCACUGAAUCAGAUGGAGCCGGGGGUCUCCCUCCCUGGGCACAUUCUCCUGCCCUACUCUAGAUGGACAUGCCUCCCAGGUUUGAGCGACAGAAAGCUGAAGACUAUGAGGGAUGCUUGGGGACAAGCCAGUUUGGUUCCCACCACACAGAGGAAAAAACGGAGGUGGUCUUGGCGCCAGUAGGGCCUGAAUGAAGAGGGCUUCCAGCCCGGGGCAAAGAGCUAGCUUGAGCAUUUGGUCUAGAAUGGGGGUGGAUGGGGCACAGAAAACCUACUACACAACCUACACAAUGGCCCUACAGGGGCCAUUUCCUCCCCAUGGAGCCUCCACACUGGCCCACAGCGGCGCUUCCCCCAGCACGGAGCCUCAGCUCCAGACUGGGACCACAGGAGCCUGCCUGGACUCUGGAGUUACUAUUUCAGGCCCCUUUUUGCCCCUCUUCUUACCCAACGCCCAGGGAAGCUCACUGUGACCCAGGUAACUUUAGGGGACAGAAGGACACACAUCCCAACUUCUGGCCAGGGAGUUCAGAGCCAGCCGUGUGGCAUGGCUGCUCCCUGUGCUGUCAGAGUGGAGGCCUCCCGGCGCCAGCCCCGGUCCCUGGUUUUGGAGUGGGUCCCCGAGAGGGUUGGGGACGCUCCCAACCAAGACUUCCCAGGAAUGUGAACCAUGUAGCCGAUUUUGAACAAAGCCCAGAUGUUUGGAAAUCUACUUCCUUCACGGGCAGGAGGACGUUGUCCCUUGCAGACCUGCAGCCCCCUGGGAGGCCCCGGAGAGCUUUCUCUGCCUGUUUACACCCUGGAGUCCUGGCUGAGGGGACCAUCUCUCAGAAGCUCAGAUGCAUCUCCUCUCCACACCUAUGGUCUGCCACGUGCAUUACGGGAGAAAUCGGGUUUUGUUUUGUUUGUUUGUUUGUUUUUAAUUUAAGAGAUUGAGGCUGUGGACCUGAACUCCCCUUUUGAGCCCAGGAGGGAGUUGGCCCCAGGAUCCUGGCCCAAACCCUCUCUAAGAAGUGCAGGGAGCCGGGAACGACUCCUUCCCCAGCGCGGGGCGCACUGUCGGGGAGGACCAAGCCCAGGGCUCCUGCAACUGCUCCCGGCCCCGGCUGCUGCCGCGGGGGAGCGAUAAACGGAAUCGGUUUCCCACGCUUUCCCUCUCCGUCCCAGAACCUUUAAAAAUCCGCCGACGAUUCCGGUUGUCCGGUUUGCGCUGUCUGAGCCCUGAGCUCAUGCUGCCCCCGAGUCGCCAGCAACGCCUGGAGCGGGGGACCCUCGGGCCGCCCGCGCGCACGCGGGGAGCAACUUCGUUCCCGCGACCGCCCUGCGGAGCCGGCAGAGCUUCGCGCGGCCGAGGUGGUCCUGUGGCUCCUCCGGAACACGGCCGGCGUGGACGCGGCUAUCGUUUCCUGCUCCGGGUUCCGGCCGCGCGCAGACACGGCCCUGGCAACAACGAAAACGGCGAGCCGCGCCGCUUUCCCGGCGGCUGAGUCCCGGGAGCCGCCGGGUGGGAGCCCGCCCCCGCGUCCCCAAACACCUCAGACCCGAGGACACUGGCCGGCCGCCUGGAGCGACACCCCGCGGAAGUAAUCCUGGAGGAGGAGCUGUGAUGGAUUUCUUCCUCACGCCUCAGUUUCCCCAUCUGUAAAAUGGGGCCAGACACUCCUGUGCCCCUCUCACGAGUUUAUGCGGAGAUGGCGGAGAUGGCGGGAAAACGGACGGAUGGAAAACGCCAGGAGGGGCGAGCGCAGGCCACCCUUUGCCGCCACGUUUGCGCGACGGGGCUCAGAGGUGCUGCCCAGACAGGAAGGGCCCCAGGUGGCUCCUGAGCAGUGUCCGCCCCUCCCGCCCUUCGGGGCCCCCACCCCCCGGAUCUCCCGUCUCCGGGGCUCGGUGAGGAGCUGUGAGCGUCCAGCUAGGCAGCCAGACAGGGUUUUGCUCGCCCUGAGCGGUUCUCUCAGGUUCCUUCGGGCCGAGAUGCAAGGAGGUUUAACACACCAGGCUCCAGCUCCCUGGGUACCACCUGGUACCCCAAAUCCCGCAGAGGGCGGGUGCCUGGGAUGCCUGAGAGGGAGGACAGGGGACAGAGCCUCUGGUCCCAGCUGAGCUCGUGGGAGGGAACAUGCACCCCUCUCCCUCUCGUUCCCAAUCCUCGGGGAGCUGGGGGUUCCGGGCGUGGGCGUGUCCGGGCACGUCUGGGAGGGGCCCUGGGGCGUGACCUAGGGGGGGCCUGGCUUCCGGAUCCGCCCUAAACUACCCCUCCGGGUGAUGACGGCGGGGGUGCGGGGCGGGGCGGGGCGGGGCGGGGGAGGGGGCGCGGGCUGAGCAAACCUUCCUGGGCGCCCACCACUUCUGGGCAGGACCCGUGGGGAGGAGGAGGGGGAUGGAGUGGCCAGGAGGGAGCCCAAGCAGACACCCCUCCCCCUCUCCCCUUUGCUUGCUACUGAAUCAGUAGUCGAGGCCUCGAGGCGGCGGUGGAGACGCGGCUCAGGGAGCCGGCAAGAAAAGGGCAGAGAGCAGGACCGCCCACGGCAGGGAAAAAAUUGCCUCUUCUGCUGAGCGACCGGAAAGGUGAUGGAAUCACGUCCUGGGGGCAGCGCCACCCGCUCUUGCCCCGGGCGCCCGGUGCCAGGGCCGCAGGGCUCUGGGAAGGGAACAGGGCCGAUCUCUUGGCUCCUCUGCCAGCUGUCCAGCUUCGCCACCUGUGGGGGCCGGAGGGGAUGAGGUGCCCUCCCAUCACUCCCUCUGCAUCCUAGACUGAGGUCCCCCAAUGAAGGAACGGUGGUCCAAGUUGCAGGGACACACUUGCACAAGGCCCGGCGCCCCCUGCAGCCCAGGCAGGUCAAGGGACCUCACUGAGGACCAACUGUGUGCCAGGCCUGGGGGCUAGGGUGAAGAUGGCCUGGCCCCAGCCGUGAGCAGCCCCUCACUCGUGGGGCACCCCCCCUCCCCAGGAUAUCAGUGGAACUAUGAGGGGAGUCUGUGCUGGGCCCUGCACACGCACGUGCACACAUGGCGCUGCCCCUGGCCCCCUAUGUGUCUGAGCUGUGAGCCCCGCCCUCCCAGGGCAUCAGAGCCAGCUUCUUCCCCUCUCCCUCUGGGACCCUGGGUCAGCCCCCUCAGCGUCCCUGGCGCCUCAGUUUCCUAAUGCACAGUAUGGGGGCAGAAAAGCCAGGGGAUACCAUGGGGACAGCCACCUGCAGCUGUGGGGCCUGAUGCCUCCCGGGGGCUCUGCGGCUGUGGUACAAGGACUGCCAGCUCACAGGGGCCCCGGUGCCCUCUGACCCCUCAAUUCCCAGAACUGGGGUCUGUCCCUAGAGGCUCUGAGUUGGCGUCGUGGGGGGCAGCUACCCCCUCCCUGACUGAACAGAGGGCAAGUGGGGCCGGGGCUGAAGACAGAGCUCCGGGGGGCUGUGGGGUCUGCUUGCUUAAGCAGGUCUUAGGGAGCUCCCAGAGCCAGGCCCCAUCGUCCUGACCUUGGCCUGCCCUGCUCUCACCUGGUCAGAGUGGAGGCUGUCUGAGGGUGAGCUGGUCUCCUGGGACCUGCAGUCAGUGCUUCUCACAGGUCCACUGCCUGCCCUCUGGGAGGCCAAGGCUCUUGGAUCCUGCCAUGGGCCUAGCAUUCAUUCAUUCAUCCAUUGACAUAUAGCCAGAGGCCCCUGGAAGGCCAAGUGCAGCCAGCACUUACUGCCCUACAGUGCAGGUCAAACGGGAGGGCUGUCUCUUCCACCAGACCUGGAGCUUCCAGAGCGUCUCAGGCCCCUCCAAAGCCGCGGUGCCCAGCCCGAGCCUGGGCUCAUGCUUGAAGCUCAGUGAGUGAAUGAAUGAGUCAUGAAUGAAUGAACGAAUGAAGGAUGCUCAGUGAGUAGAAAGUGAUCCUCUGAUCUCCGCAGCCUGAUUUCAGCCCAGGGGAAGACGAGACCCUGAGGACAUGGCAGUGGAGGCAGCAGCUCCGUGCUGCGUGUCCAAGGCUGAGUGACCUGUCCUUCACCUGUCUGACCAGCGCCAGCCCCUGUGAUGGGGACGCAGCAGUGAGCAAGCCGCCUGGGUCCCCUGCUGCACUGGGCACAGUUUGGAAAAGGAAGCCAGUUUGGCCAGGGGCCCUCAGCAGGAGGGUGGGGACAGGGGACAGUCGGAGAAAGAGCAUCCUUGGGAGAAACUCCGUCUAUCUAUGGGGUUCCCUGGCCUGGAGUGGUCGAGCCUGGUUGUGCUGGGGCUCCUGUGCCAGGCAGGGUACUGACCAGUGCCCAGCUUACCUCCCGCCCCCGGGUUGCUUCACAGUGCCAUGUGACCCUCCCGACAAUCCCAUGUGGUAGGAACUGCAAUUGUUCCCACCUUACACAUGGGGAAACUGGUGCUCAGAGGUGCAAGGACAUGUCCUAGAGGCUACACGGUGGGAUGCGUCUGCCUGACCACACAGCCCUCCUCCAGGUGACAUGCAGCAAGACAGUGCUGUCCAGGGUGCACAGGUGACAGGCGCCUCCACGGAGGGGUCUGUCCCGGACCCUUUCCUGGGUUUCAGGUGGUGCCAGGAAUGUGAGCACCAGAGUGUGCUCUGGCCUCACCAUCACUCACAUGCUCCUGACAAUGACGGAGACACUUAUGUGCCUGUGUCCAGAAAGACUCUGCCAUGUGGGGUCCAUAUUUCCUCCGAGUCCGGCUGUCACUGGGGAGUCUAGGGCCCCACUGAGGGCGGCCAUCCCAGGGCUGCUCUGGCCACCCCCAGGGGACAGGACCCCGGCCCAGUUUGGGGCUGACACACUGAGCAAUUCAUGCUCAGUAUCUGGGCUUCAAGUAUGGUAUUUCCAAUCAUAAAAUGUGUCAUUUCAGAAAAUAUAUGUGUCAGUUAAGUGUGCCCUGAGCCUGGACCACAUGGGACAUGGUUGUUCUAAUAAACACGAAUAAGCUAGUUUUCACAUUAGAGAAAUAACAGUUUCUAGUAGAAAUGUGGCACUUUUAAAAGAGGUUAAUUAAUAAACAGCGGGUAAUUGCUCAUGGCACGUUGUGGCAGAGGGUAAUUUUCAUUUUCGAGGAUGGAAGGGCCAACAUCCCUCCCCACUCAGCAUUUUUGUGUAAUAAUCACCUUGGCUUCACCUCUGCCUUUAAUUUUUACAGCUGGAGCUGUUUAUCAUCACUCCAACUUUCACUAAAAAGGAAAAACUAUCACUUAAACAAAGCCAUUGAAAACUCAGCAUCGUACAUGGAUUUCUCAACAUAAAUAAAUCCUGCAAACCCGGAGCUGUUCUCUCCGAGUGAUGUCACUCACUGAGGCUGCCUUCCCCAUCAAAUCGGCCGCGAGCUGUUCUCCUUUUGUGUGUGUGCUUUUUGCAAAAUCAGGAAAGCCGUGCUGACCUCCUUGCUGUGCUUUUUUCUCGGCUCUGCCCAGGACACGCAAAGGUCUCUCCCUGGUCGGCCCGGCAGAACCAGAUCUAAAUGGUGAAAACCAUUUCAACUGCACAGACUGUGUUUAAACCCUCUGCUUUGGAGUCAUGAGUUCCGAGUUGAAAGACUGGUAAAGCUUCCCGAAGAAUUUGGGCAGACCUCGGCAGAAGUUGAAGGAUCUCUGGGUCUCUCAGAGCCUACAAUAAGCCUGGCUGCAGGCCAGUCACGCUGAAAUGAAUGAGCAACGUGAAAGUCACCAUGGGUGGGUAAAUGAGAUGUGGUCUCUCCGUACCAUGGAGGAGUAUUCAGCCAUAAAAGGAACACGGUGCUGAUCCGAGCUCCCACAUGAAUGAACCUCGAAAACAUCAUUCUCAGUGAAAGAAGCCAGUCAUAAAAGGCCACAUAUUGUAUGAUUCCAAUUAUAUGAAAUGUCCGGGAUGGGAAAAUCCAGGGAGACAGAAAAUAGAUUAGUGAUCGCCAGAGCUGGGGGGGGAGGAGUGGGGAGAAAUAGGGAGGAACUGCUUAAUGCAUACGAGGUUUCCUUCUGGGAAGGUGAGAAGGUUCUGGAACUAGAUCGUGGGGAUGGUUGCACAACAUGGUGAACGUGCUGAAUGCCGCUGAAUUGUACACUUUGAAACGGUGAAUGUUAUGUGAAUUAUAUCUCAAUAAAUCUGUUAUUAAAAAUA